GGCAGUUCUCAGGGGCCACACCUCGGAAUCGGGCUUCCUCCUUUCUGGUUCCUGGUGCUUCACCCGAGAACUGCA
rfam:Myotis davidii contig212486, whole genome shotgun sequence.